rnacentral:rRNA from 1 species
AUGCAGUCGAACGGCAGCACGGGAGCAAUCCUGGUGGCGAGUGGCGAACGGGUGAGUAAUAUAUCGGAACGUGCCCAGUCGUGGGGGAUAACGUAGAGAAAUUUACGCUAAUACCGCAUACGAUCUAAGGAUGAAAGCGGGGGACCGUAAGGCCUCGCGCGAUUGGAGCGGCUGAUAUCAGAUUAGGUUGUUGGUGAGGUAAAAGCUCACCAAGCCGACGAUCUGUAGCUGGUUUGAGAGAACGACCAGCCACACUGGGACUGAGACACGGCCCAGACUCCUACGGGAGGCAGCAGUGGGGAAUUUUGGACAAUGGGCGAAAGCCUGAUCCAGCAAUGCCGCGUGCAGGAAGAAGGCCUUCGGGUUGUAAACUGCUUUUGUACGGAACGAAAAGGUCUGCCCUAAUACGGCGGGCCCAUGACGGUACCGUAAGAAUAAGCACCGGCUAACUACGUGCCAGCAGCCGCGGUAAUACGUAGGGUGCGAGCGUUAAUCGGAAUUACUGGGCGUAAAGCGUGCGCAGGCGGUGAUGUAAGACAGUUGUGAAAUCCCCGGGCUCAACCUGGGAAUUGCAUCUGUGACUGCAUCGCUAGAGUACGGUAGAGGGGGAUGGAAUUCCGCGUGUAGCAGUGAAAUGCGUAGAUAUGCGGAGGAACACCGAUGGCGAAGGCAAUCCCCUGGACCUGUACUGACGCUCAUGCACGAAAGC